ACAGACAAUAUCAUUAAUCCCUGACGGCAACACAACAUGGAGGUACAAAAACCUGACACAAAAGUCCAUAAGAAAUAAAUCCAAUUCUUUCCAGUUCUCAUGUUUUCACAGACUAAAUUGGAAACUAUAACCUAAGAAUGAUGCAAAUGAAAAACGGCAGAUUUCAGAACAGACUAUAUAAUAUGAAUCUAGAGACUUGGAU
rnacentral:lncRNA from 1 species